rnacentral:lncRNA from 1 species
GGACAGAGUUUCAUCAAGAUGCGGGAGCAGCCUGCCAUUGGGGAAUUCAUGCAAAUUUAUAUUCGUUUAGAAUAUUUCUUAUGCAGGUGCCUGGGUGGCCCAGUUGGUUAAGCCAUCGACUCUUGAUUGUGGCUCAGGUCGUGAUCUCGGGGACCUGGGAUCGAGUCCCACAUCGGGCUCUGCACUCAGCACAGGGUCCGCUUGCUCCGUCCCACAUCGGGCUCUGCACUCAGCACAGGGUCCGCUNGCUCCGUCCCACAUCGGGCUCUGCACUCAGCACAGGGUCCGCUUGCUCCGUCCCACAUCGGGCUCUGCACUCAGCACAGGGUCCGCUUGCUCCUUCCCUCUGCUCCUCCUCCCGUUCUCUCUCUCAAAUAAAUAAGAUCCU